rnacentral:tRNA from 1 species
GGAGAGAUGCGAGAGCUGGCUUAAUCGGCACGAUUGGAAAUCGUGUGUGGGGGUGACUCCACCGAGGGUUCGAAUCCCUCUCUCUCCGCCA